AUAUUGAGAUCCUGAGCAUUGGCCUGACCCCACAGAGCAACAUUUCGAGUUCACCACCGAGCACAUGGAGGGCCCCCGCCCCCUCCACUCCUGUGGGAUGCUCCAUGUGCCCCAGCCUCGCAGCAAUCACAAGCUACACCUGCUACCUCUCAAGGUUAAGCUUUAAACCAGCAUUGACAUAGAGCUGCAUGGGAACAAAUGAAAUAUUCAGGAAGCAAGGAGAAGGGCAUGACAGCAAAAGGUUUUUCAUGUAUUGGACACUGAAUACAGAGGAGCUACAGUAUAGCCAGAACACCAUCAUCCUGCUAAUUCUGUAUUACAGAAGGGAACAAGUGAGCAAAGCAAUGAAAUAUGUGGGGAGCCAGAGGAAAAGCAAGGGCAACAUUGGACCUCUGCUGAACCAGAUGGGACAACUGACAACUGACACCCAGGAAAAAGCCAACCUAUUAAAUGGGUAUUUUGUGUCGGUCUUUCUUCAGUCCCAUGGGAUGCCCAUGCCCACUAUGGGACAGGGAGGUCUGUAUGAGGUCCCUUGCCCUCCAUCAAUGCUGACCUCAUAAAGGAACACCUUGAGAGGCUGGAUACCUUCAAGUCAGCUGGCCCUGACAAUCUAUACCCCAGGGUACUCAAGGAGCUGGUGAACAUCAUAGCCCAGCCUCUGGCACAGAUCUUUGAGAACUCCUGGCGCUCUGGUGUAGUGCCUGAAGACUGGAAGAAGGCCAAUGUGGUGCCUAUCUUCAAGAAAGGGAGGAAAGUGGAUCUGGAAAACUAUAGGCCCAUCAGCCUGACUUCUAUCCCGGGGAAGAUCUUAGAAAAGUUUAUUAAAGAGGCCAUCCUUAAUGGACUGGCCAACACCAACAUCUUGGGGGAUAGCCAGUAUAGGUUUGUUGCAGGUAGGUCUUGCUUGAUCAAUCUCAUUUCCUUUUAUGACCAGGUGACCUAUCACCUGGAUAAGGGAGAAUAGAUUGAUGUCAUAUAUCUUAACUUCAAAAAAAGCCUUCGAUCUGGUAUCCCAUGAUCGCCUCUUGGUGAAACUGGCCAAUUGUGACCUUGGGUCCACCACGAUAUGCUGGCUGGGAAAUUGGCUCCGUGGUCAGACCCAGAGGGUGGUAAUUGAUGGAAGUCAAUUGUCAUGGUGCCCUAUGACCAGUGGGGUCCCCCAAGGCUCUGUCCUUGGACCCAUAUUGUUCAACAUCUUCAUUAAUGAUGUGGACAUUGGAGUCAGACUGAAGUGGACUGGCCAAGUUCACAGAUGACACAAAACUUUGGGGCAAAGAGUCCACACCUGAAGACAGGAGGGCGAUCCAGGCUGACCUGGACAAACUCAGCAAAUGGGCGGAUGAGAAUCUGAUAGUGUUUAACACUGAAAAAUGCAAGGUUCUCCACCUUAGGAGGAAAAACCUGCAGCAUCCUUAAAGGCUCAGCAGUGCUACGCUGGCUAGUACUAUGGAAGAAAGAGACUUAGGGGUCAUCAUUGACCAUCAUUUAUCAAGAUGAACAUGAGCCUGCAAUGCGAUUCUGUGGCUAAUAAAGUGACCAAAAUGAUGGCUUGCAUCCAUAGAUGCUUCUCAAGCAAAUCCCGGAACAUCAUUCUCCCCUUGUACUCGACCUUGGUGAGGCCGCAGCUGGAGUACUGCGUCCAGUUUUGGACCCCACAAUUCAAAAAGGGUGUGGAGAAACUUGAGAGAGUGCAGAGAAGAGCCACGCACAUGAUCAGAGGUCAGGAAAACAGACCUUACGAUGACAGGCUGAGAUCUAUGAGGCUCUUUAGCCUGGAAAGGCGCAGGCUCAGGGGUGAUCUGAUAAGUUUAUCAGGGGUGACCACCAGUAUCUGGGGGAACAUUUGUUCACCAGAGCGCCCCAAGUGAUGAUGAGGUUGAACGGUUAUAAACUACUGCAAGACCAUUUCAGGCUGGACAUAAGGAAGAAUUUCUUUACUGUCCGAACCCCCAAGGUCUGGAAUAGCCUGCCAUCGGAGGUGGUUCAAGCACCUACAUUGAACACCUUCAAGAGUAAAUUGGAUGCUUAUCUUGCUGGCCUCCUAUGACCACUGCUGACUUCCUGCCCUUCGGUCAGGGGGCUAGACUCGAUGAUGUUCCAAGGUCCCUUCCAGCCCUAAUGUCUAUGAAAUCUAUGAAUAAGACUUAAAAAAAAAAAAAAAGAUUCUUUACAUAAAUAGAUACUGUAUUAAUUUAUUCCAAAUGAAAUAAAUGUUCAAAAAAUUAUCAUUACACCUGUACAAUCACUUUUGAAUUUUACUCAGUUUUCACUUUCAUCAUCAGAUUCACUUUACCCUGCCCAUUUACUGCCAUAAUCCUAAUUCUUAUUGCAUUCUCUUGACAGAGGUUUAAUGGGGUCAACAGCGGUCCUUUCAAGAAUUGGAGGUUUUCAGCCUAAAAAAGCUGAAUAAGCAGUCAAAAAUUGGUAGUUCAUGAGUCACGUAAGUGACAUGCUACUAUUCUCCACUAUUACCUCUUCAUGCUUGUGAGAUCAGGGUGAAUUGGAGUCCAGUCUGAUUGUAAAAUUAUAUACAGGAUACUGCUGUGCUAUGACAGCAAGUGUUAGCAGCUUCCUUCUUUGUGAAGCCCAGUGGGGUUGUAUCACUUCUCACUGAAUGUGGCCUAAGGUGCUACACAUGGAAAGACUCUCACAUGGAAAGACUUCUUCUGUGGCUCUCAUAAUAUGUUCCAGACUUUUUAUGAACAUAAACAUUCCUAAAGCUAUUGUUACCCAAAGGUGAUUUCUAUUGCUAAGUAGCCCUGAUGCAUGCAGAGUGGAAGCAACACUAGUGCCAUUUUCAUUUGUUUACCUGGGAGUUUGUCGCAUCCACACUCUGAGCUUUCCAAUCCAAAUUCCAUUCCACAAUGACAGAUUUAUUUUAAAAAAUCACUCCCAACACAUAUUUCCCUCACUUCUAUAUUCUCUCAGGCAUGGAUGUAUUCACUUGUUGGAGAAGCAUAGGCUUCAAAUGGGAGUCAUCCUGGACCUGCAGGAAGAAAAAGAUGAAUGAAAUAAUACUGUUUUCCUUCACUCUCCACUCUGUUUUCCUUCACUCUCAUGGUUGAUUUCAUGUACCUUCCUCUCAACACUGAGCACUUCAAUAAUACCACCACCAGGAGCCCUAGAGUGACUUUCAUCUAAGCACAGUUCACUUUAUCAUAUAAAUCACAUUCAGAAUGCACAGGAAAGCAGUGUUUAGUAAUGCCAACCCUUGCAUUUCAAGCCUUGAUAGUCAGACCUCACCACCAUCACUCUCCCACGAUUCUCAAAAUCAGAAGAGUUCUUAAAUUUAUGUUAAGCCAAUUUAUCAUAGAUUUCAUAGACAUUAGGGCUGGA